rnacentral:rRNA from 1 species
GACGAACGCUGGCGGCGUGCCUAAUACAUGCAAGUAGAACGCUGAAGGAGGAGCUUGCUCUUCUGGAUGAGUUGCGAACGGGUGAGUAACGCGUAGGUAACCUGCCUGGUAGCGGGGGAUAACUAUUGGAAACGAUAGCUAAUACCGCAUAAGAGUAGAUGUUGCAUGACAUUUACUUAAAAGGUGCAAUUGCAUCACUACCAGAUGGACCUGCGUUGUAUUAGCUAGUUGGUGGGGUAACGGCUUACCAAGGCGACGAUACAUAGCCGACCUGAGAGGGUGAUCGGCCACACUGGGACUGAGACACGGCCCAGACUCCUACGGGAGGCAGCAGUAGGGAAUCUUCGACAAUGGACGGAAGUCUGACCGAGCAACGCCGCGUGAGUGAAGAAGGUUUUCGGAUCGUAAAGCUCUGUUGUAAGAGAAGAACGAGUGUGAGAGUGGAAAGUUCACACUGUGACGGUAUCUUACCAGAAAGGGACGGCUAACUACGUG